GGUUUUCUUCUGGACCCUGCUAGCCUCUGUUAACAAAGAUGAAAAUCACCACAGAUUUCUUCAAGUUUCUUGAAGAGGAAUUCUUCCACAACCUUGGUGUUGGCUCAGGUACUAAAGUUCUUAUGACCUCACCUCUCCAAAAUUGUUUAAUAAGCUUCAACAUUUCGAAUUGGAUGUACAUAUUUGUUCAUUAUUUUAUCAAAUUAAAGAUAUACUAUAAUUUGAGAACUUUUAUCUUAUUAUUUCUAAUUUCUUUACUCUUCUGAAAUAUACUGAGGAGUUUUAAGAAAAUGAAUCUUCAGGACAACAUCUAGGUUUUGGAACUUUAGUGCAAGAAGGCUAAAGCUUCUUUGUUUAUUACAAUUUACGUAGUAUUUCUACGUUGAGGUAGCAUCAGCUCAGAGUUGUUUGAAUAUCUUCAGAGUGCCUUUGUUAUAACGGUUCCAUUUCAGGAUGAAAUGUAGGUUUUAAGUAAUCCAUCACCUCUCAGGUAAAUUUCAUUUGAUCACAGUCACUUAUUCAACCAAGUUCAUUGGAAACCUAGCAGAAAGCUAGAUGUUGAGAAGUAGACAAGACAUAGGCAAUCACUGCAAAUACUACUUCAACUACAUCCAUGAGAGCGCAUUAUUAUCUCUGGGAACUGUGGAGAGCCAGUGCUAUCUUUGAUACGGUUUAUCUUUCAUGUGAUGCUCCCCGGUGAUUUCCUGAUAUUGAUAAAAUGAAGACAAGUGACUCAAUCGUGCUUGAAUUCAUUUUUGAAUGAUUCAUUGAGAUAAGCAUCUAAAUGGGAAAAUAUGGGUAGCUUUUAUUUCAUUUCUUAAUAUUAAAGGUCUCUUACGCAUAUCUCUACUUAAAUGAGAGUCACUGGCGUUAAUGAUUUUUUGAACAGAUUUAAUCAAGUGAUAAUUAAAUUUGCCUUUAUCUGACUACCUUGCAAUAUGUUUUGCUCGUUGAAUUUUUUUCUUUGAAUGUAAUGUGCUAAGUGUACAACUGGAGCUACAAAU
rnacentral:lncRNA from 1 species